rnacentral:rRNA from 1 species
UACGUAGGGUGCGAGCGUUGUCCGGAAUUAUUGGGCGUAAAGAGCUCGUAGGCGGUCUGUCGCGUCUGCUGUGAAAACCCGAGGCUCAACCUCGGGCCUGCAGUGGGUACGGGCAGACUAGAGUGCGGUAGGGGAGAAUGGAAUUCCUGGUGUAGCGGUGGAAUGCGCAGAUAUCAGGAGGAACACCGGUGGCGAAGGCGGGUCUCUGGGCCAUUACUGACGCUGAGGAGCGAAAGCGUGGGGAGCGAACAGG